GACGAACGCUGGCGGCGUGCUUAACACAUGCAAGUCGAACGGAAAGGCCCUGCUUUUGUUGGGUGCUCGAGUGGCGAACGGGUAAGUAACACGUGAGUAACCUUUCCUUGACUGUGGGAUAACUUCAGGAAACUGGGGCUACUACCGGAUAGGCGCUCCUGCUGCAUGGUGGUGGUUGGAAAGUUUCGGCGGUUGGGGAUGGACUCGCGGCUUAUCAGCUUGUUGGUGGGGUAGUGGCUUACCAAGGCUUUGACGGGUAGCCGGCCUGAGAGGGGGACCGGCCAAAUUGGGACUGGGUUAGGGCCAGGCUCCCUAGGGGGGGAAGAGGGGGGGAAAAUGCACCAAGGGGCGGAGGCCUGAUCAAGAAACGCGGGGGGCGGGAGACCGGCCUUGGGGUUGUAACCGGCUUCCGCAUGUGAGGAGGUGGGAGUGACGGUAAUGGCUGAAGAAGCACCGGCUAACUACGUG
rnacentral:rRNA from 1 species